AGGAUGAACGCUGGCGGCGUGCCUAACACAUGCAAGUCGAACGCUCUCCAUUCGGUAGCAAUACUGAUGAAGAGGGAGUGGCGAACGGGUGAGUACCACGUGAGCAACCUGCCCCGAAGACUGGGACAACACCGGGAAACCGGUGCUAAUACCGGAUAUCCCUAUCGGAUCGCAUGAUCUGAUAAGGAAAUGGAUUCCGCUUCGGGAGGGGCUCGCGGCCUAUCAGCUAGUUGGUGAGGUAAUAGCUCACCAAGGCAUCGACGGGUAGCUGGUCUGAGAGGACGAUCAGCCACACUGGGACUGAGACACGGCCCAGACUCCUACGGGAGGCAGCAGUGGGGAAUCUUGCGCAAUGGGCGAAAGCCUGACGCAGCAACGCCGCGUGGAGGACGAAUGCUUUCUGAGUUGUAAACUCCUUUCAGCAGGGACGAUUGUGACGGUACCUGCAGAAGAAGCACCGGCCAACUACGCG
rnacentral:rRNA from 1 species